rnacentral:rRNA from 1 species
AUGAUCAUCCUAGCCUGGAACUGCCGAGGAUUGGGGUUGGACUCGGCAGUGGGCGAGCUACGGGACCUGAUUAGGUCAUACAACCCAGGGGUGGUGUUCUUAUUAGAAACGAAGAUGAGAGCGGGAGCGAUGGAAAGGUUAAAAUGUAGAUUGGGUUUCAAUAACGGAGUAGCGGUGGAGUGCAAAGGCAAAAGUGGAGGUCUCGCGCUAUGGUGGAGGGAUCAUGUACAAGUUAUGGUUCGACCGUGGUGCCAGUACUACAUCGACGCACAAAUUGUGGAUGGCGGUUCCCCUUUCAGAUUCACUGGAAUCUAUGGGGAGCCUUGUACUGAAAAAAGAACAGAAACAUGGGAGGUUCUCCGCUACCUUAGGAAGCAAGACAAUCUACCUUGGCUCUGCGCCGGCGAUUUUAAUGAGGCACUAAGACAGCACGAGCAGCAAGGUGGCAAUCCGAGAAGCCUGAACCAGAUAGCUCAAUUUGAGGAUUGCUUGUCCGACUGCGGGCUCGCUGAUCUCUGUUUCUCGGGCUAUCCGUUCACAUGGGACAAUAAGCGUGAUGGAAAUGAGAAUAUCCAGGUGCGGCUGGACCGUGCAACAUGCAAUGCAGAUUUUGCACAACGUUUCCCGCGGAUUGAGGUCCAACACGUCAUGACAGAGGAGUCAGAUCAUCAGGCGCUUCUCAUUAAUGCGUCAAUGACACUGGUCGAUGCGCAUGCAAGGGGUGUUGGGGAACGUUGCAGAAAAUAA